rnacentral:rRNA from 3 species
UACGGCGGCCAUGGCGAAGGGGAAACACCCGGCAACAUUCCGAACCCGGAAGUUAAGCCCUUCAGCGCCGAUGGUACUGCACGGGAGACUGUGUGGGAGAGUAGGACGCCGCCGGAC